GAUCCUGGCUCAGGAUGGACGCUAGCUACAGGCUUAACACAUGCAAGUCGAGGGGCAGCAUUUCAGUUUGUUCGCAAACUGAAGAUGGCGACCGGCGCACGGGUGAGUAACACGUAUCCAACCUGCCGAUAACUCGGGGAUAGCCUUUCGAAAGAAAGAUUAAUACCGGAUGGCAUAUGAUUAUCGCAUGAUAAUCCUAUUAAAGAAUUUCGGUUAUCGAUGGGGAUGCGUUCCAUUAG
rnacentral:rRNA from 1 species